rnacentral:rRNA from 1 species
GAUGAACGCUGGCGGCGUGCCUAAUACAUGCAAGUCGAGCGAACAGACGAUGAGCUUGCUCCUCUGACGUUAGCGGCGGACGGGUGAGUAACACGUGGAUAACCUACCUAUAAGACUGGGAUAACUUCGGGAAACCGGAUCUAAUACCGGAGAAUAUAUUGAACCGCAUGGAUCAAUAGUGAAAGACGGUUUUGCUGUCACUUAUAGAUGGAUCCGCGCCGCAUUAGCUAGUUGGUAAGGUAACGGCUUACCAAGGCAACGAUGCGUAGCCGACCUGAGAGGGUGAUCGGCCACACUGGAACUGAGACACGGUCCAGACUCCUACGGGAGGCAGCAGUAGGGAAUAUUCCGCAAUGGGCGAAAGCCUGACGGAGCCACACCGCGUGAGUGAUGAAGGUCUUCGGAUCGUAAAACUCUGUUAUUAGGGAAGAACAAAUGUGUAAGUAACUAUGCACGUCUUGACGGUACCUAAUCAGAAAGCCACGGCUAACUACGUG